rnacentral:lncRNA from 1 species
CUGUCCUCAGCUGGAGGUAUCUGGGGCUGUGAAGGAGGAAAUCCAGUUCAGGAGAGUGGAGAAGAUUGUAGAAUCCUUCUUUGAACUGGGAAGAGCCACAAAGCACAGGGUGCUUUAGGCCUUCUGCCUCUUCAGUAAGAAUCUGUUCCUGUUAUCCAGGGAGAAUCAACAGAAAGGGAACUUCUGGAACUGAGAACCAAAGUAUCCAAACAGGAGCGGCUCCUUCAGAGCACAGCUGAGCGUCUGAAGACCGCGAACCAGCAGAAGGAGAGCAUGGAGCAGUUCAUCGUCAGCCAGCUAACCAGAACACACGAUGUUUUAAAGAAGGCAAGGACUAACUUAGAGAGCAACACUUACAGGAUUGC